UGCCCUAGUUGGUAGGUCUCUAGACAUUACAGAGAACCUAAAACAAUCCAAUCUGCUAAUCUUCGAUACUGUUUUAUACUCACAACCUUAUAUCCACUGACUGUCUUGUUAGAUUAACCAAAAAAUUUUCAUUCACUCCGCAUACUCAAUCCUAUAGACACCCUUUUAAUUCUUUAAUCAUAGAGGUAACUUCGAUUUCACAACACCGUCAAGAGUAAUCUCACCCACUUCAUUAUAA
rnacentral:lncRNA from 1 species